rnacentral:misc_RNA from 1 species
GUAAGAUCAUGCUUCGGGUUCUUUUGCUUGGUUAGAUUUGUUAAAUUGUGGCUAUGUUUGGUUGCUAUCUAUGCUCCUCUUUCAUGAUUUGCUAGUGGUUAAGAGUAAAUGAUUGUGAUUAUAAGAGACUUGGAUCCUGUAGAGCACACUGAUACUUACCUUUUGGUUUAAUGGUUAUCUGCAUGUGUCAUGCAUACUGAUAAUAUAUAAUCCAAUGAUGAAUGGGAUUUAUAAUGUUUUCUUUGAACCUCACUGAGUUGAGCCAAGCACAGCAUGAGCUUAGGUCUCAUAGCAAUAUUUGGGCUAACAAUGACAUUGGUUGAGCAGUCAAAUAGUCGAUCAAUCUCAAACUGCAUCAUAGCUGCAGUUACAUUUUUUCCCCCCACCAGUCUUACUGUUCCUACAAAAUCCACAUGGAUGUUAAGAAUGACAAAUUCUUCCAGUUUAUAUUGCUAUUGUUGCUAAGAACAAAUUCUCUCUCUCUCAGGCUGUUGACGUAUUGAGAACAGACUAUGAACCCUCAGAUUUGGAUAUCCUGUAUGCUGAGGGCGUUACUUCAUCAAAUGGGCUUGCUUGUUUGGACUUCUCAUUUCCCCCAUCAGCA